rnacentral:rRNA from 1 species
AACGAACGCUGGCGGCGUGUUUAAGACAUGCAAGUCGCACGGUGUCAUUUUGGUAGCAAUACUUGGAUGGCACAGUGGCGCACGGGUGAGUAACACGUGAAUGACAUGCCCUUCAGAGGGGGAUAGCCCAGGGAAACUUGGAUUAAUACCCCAUGGUCUCGCAAGAGUAAAGGUGGCCGCAAGGCUGUCGCUGGAGGAUUGGUUCGCGUGCUAUCAGCUUGUUGGCGGGGUAACGGCCCACCAAGGCUACGACGGAUACCUGGUCUGAGAGGACGAUCAGGCACACUGGAACUGAGACACGGUCCAGACACCUACGGGUGGCAGCAGUCGAGAAUAAUUCACAAUGGGGGCAACCCUGAUGGUGCAACGCCGCGUGGAGGAUGAAGGUCUUCGGAUUGUAAACUCCUGUCAUCCGGGAGCAAGACCUGACGGUGAAUAGCCGGCAGGGUUGAUAGUACCGGAAGAGGAAGGGACGGCUAACUUCGUGCCAGCCGCCGCCGUAACAC